CAGUUGGAUGUAUGAGAAUACAUUAAAGGUAGAGCGGUAGAUCGCUUUAUUCUUAUUCGUGUUGGAAAGCAGAAGAAGCGCGCUCGGUGCACGAAAAUGAAAUUGCUACUUUGGUGUUCGGUUUUUUUUGGCAUUGAUUUAUCUGUCAUCUACUGCUACGAUUGGAGAAAGACAAAAACCUGCAGAAGAAUAUAGCAAGACUAUCCGCCGCAAAAGAGGACUCUUUGAUGAUAUUUCAAAUGCAGUGGGAGGAGGAUUUAGAAAAAUAUAUGAAGGUAGCAAAUGGGUCGUGAAAGCUAUGAAUAAAGCAUAUGAACAUACUCCAAUUGGAAUGCUAGACAAGGCCGUUUCCAACUCGAAUACUGCAUUAGGAAGAUAUUGGAAAGCAACGAAAAAUGAAGCAACUGAAUUUGCACUGCAUUAUGCUGCGGCAAUAUGAGUUGAAACAUAAAAACAUAGCGUUGCGUAUUAUCAAAACUGUCAAAAGUUACAUAUUCACAAAUGUUUUGUGUUGUUCGUUUUAUACUCACAUUUGAGAGAGCAUUUGAGAUAGUCAUUGGAAAUAAAGUUUGUUUCUGAAAACUUGAGGUUGCUGUAUCGCUGAAAUUCAUCGUUUGGGUGUCGCUGCUGUAUAUAUAACCAGCUUUGGUUCCCCGCGGCUUUCUUUCUCCAGUAAAACUGUGUCAUUUCUCGUUUUUCGAAUAUUGUAUGAUUGUUUCUUCACUGAUUGGAAAAAAAUAAACUUGACUUGUUUGGAAUAUAAA